UCAACUGAAAAGAGACAAAACAGAUUUCACGUCCGUAGUGUUGAAAUGAAGUUUUCCACUUACACAGAAACUAGGGAUUCCAUUCAUUGGAGGAGAGCAAAAGGAGGCUUGAGGAAGUGACAGAACUUCCUAGAAAUGAGUGUGUGGAUGACCUCUGUUACCGGGAAGGUGUGAACCUCCGUUGACAAUGUGGGAGAACCGAGAGAGGAUGUGGUAUCGGGAAAUAGGCCUAUGGAGUUCAUCUUGGGGGCUGGGGAAUAAAGAGAAGACUGAAGAAAAUGACCAACUGGAACACUUGGAAACCAGGGAAUGUAGUUAUUCUAGAAGCCCCAGGGGUACAGGUCUGUGAAUCGUCAG